rnacentral:lncRNA from 1 species
UGUUGUUUAUUGAGAGUUGUAUGUGUGUGUUUUGAUAGAGGAAGUCUGUAAUUAUAGGAAUUCUGUGAAUUCAGAUUGGUUGGAGUGAAGUCUGUUAUUUCUGAUAUUUGAUAGAAUUUAUUGAGUUUUGAGCGAUCUUUUGAGAGUGCAGGAUUGCACAUUGUGGUUAUCAAUUGAUGAAGGAGUAUUGUUACUGAGAGGAA